AGCUUGCUCCCGGAUGUUAGCGGCGGACGGGUGAGUAACACGUGGGUAACCUGCCUGUAAGACUGGGAUAACUCCGGGAAACCGGAGCUAAUACCGGAUAGUUCCUUGAACCGCAUGGUUCAAGGAUGAAAGACGGUUUCGGCUGUCACUUACAGAUGGACCCGCGGCGCAUUAGCUAGUUGGUGAGGUAACGGCUCACCAAGGCGACGAUGCGUAGCCGACCUGAGAGGGUGAUCGGCCACACUGGGACUGAGACACGGCCCAGACUCCUACGGGAGGCAGCCAGUAGGGAAUUCUUCSGCAAUGGACGAAARUUCUGACGGAGCAACGCCGGCGUGAGUGAUGAAGGUUUUCGGAUCGUAAAGCUCUGUUGUUAGGGAAGAACAAGUGCAAGAGUAACUGCUUGCACCUUGACGGUACCUAACCAGAAAGCCACGGCUAACUACGUGCCAGCAGCCGCGGUAAUACGUAGGUGGCAAGCGUUGUCCGGAAUUAUUGGGCGUAAAGGGCUCGCAGGCGGUUUCUUAAGUCUGAUGUGAAAGCCCCCGGCUCAACCGGGGAGGGUCAUUGGAAACUGGGAAACUUGAGUGCAGAAGAGGAGAGUGGAAUUCCACGUGUAGCGGUGAAAUGCGUAGAGAUGUGGAGGAACACCAGUGGCGAAGGCGACUCUCUGGUCUGUAACUGACGCUGAGGAGCGAAAGCGUGGGGAGCGAACAGGAUUAGAUACCCUGGUAGUCCACGCCGUAAACGAUGAGUGCUAAGUGUUAGGGGGUUUCCGCCCCUUAGUGCUGCAGCUAACGCAUUAAGCACUCCGCCUGGGGGAGUACGGUCCGCAAGACUGAAACCUCAAAGGGAAUUGACGGGGGSCCSCACAAGCGGUGGAGCAUGUGGUUUAAUUCGAAGCAACGCGAAGAACCUUACCAGGUCUUGACAUCCUCUGACAACCCUAGAGAUAGGGCUUUCCCUUCGGGGACAGAGUGACAGGUGGUGCAUGGUUGUCGUCAGCUCGUGUCGUGAGAUGUUGGGUUAAGUCCCGCAACGAGCGCAACCCUUGAUCUUAGUUGCCAGCAUUCAGUUGGGCACUCUAAGGUGACUGCCGGUGACAAACCGGAGGAAGGUGGGGAUGACGUCAAAUCAUCAUGCCCCUUAUGACCUGGGCUACACACGUGCUACAAUGGACAGAACAAAGGGCUGCGAGACCGCAAGGUUUAGCCAAUCCCACAAAUCUGUUCUCAGUUCGGAUCGCAGUCUGCAACUCGACUGCGUGAAGCUGGAAUCGCUAGUAAUCGCGAUCAGC
rnacentral:rRNA from 2 species